AGCGGCCAGGACAGAGGUGGGCUCAACACCAAGAGGCCACCAAUGAAAACGUGCCUUUUUCACAUUCCCCGCCCCUUCCGUGUGCACGCUCCCCACGAGGGGCUGGUUCCUGAAAGGUUGGACGGAGGAUCCCCAACCACCUGCGAAGCCCAAGCCGCCGCGUAGGAGCGUGCUUUCCGGCCCUCUUCUCCCACCUGUUCGGGUCUCCCGCUGUAACCCAGGCUGGAAUGCAGUGGCGUGAUCACGGCUCACAGUGUUGCCCAGGCUGGGCGCAAACCAUCCUCCCGCCUCAGCCUCCCAGUGUUGGGAUUACAGGCCUGAGCCAUGGCACCUGGCUUCAUCUCUGUGUUUCCAGAGAGGUUAUCAAAUGACAUGUCCAAGGGCACCAAAUGAGGCAGUGACAAAGCUAGGUCCAAGUCUGUUUCAAAGCCCAUUUUCCCCCUCUUGCUUAAGUUAUACCGCCUCCAAGGCAAAUGAGUUGUGUAAAGUGCCUAACUCCCUCUUGUGACUUCCCUGUUGCCCUCAGAAUAAAAAGUCUUAUACUCCCUACUAUGUCCUACAAAACCUUGUGAUGAUCACUUACUUAUAUCACCAAUUUAAUAUUGUCUUGUUCUCACACUGUAUUCUCCCAUCACUGAACUUUUUUUUUUUGCUCUCAUGUGUCAGAUUCUAUCUCAACCACCUGCUCUUCCAUUGACCAAAAAUAGUUUUCCCAUCUCUGGCUAACUUCUGUUCCAUCUGUCAAGUUUCAGCUUGGAAAUCACUUCCUCUAGGAGGCCUUCCCUGCCUAUUCCUGCCCUUGACUGGAUUAGGUAUCCCUCCACUGUGGUCCCAAUCUUUGCUAUCUGUGCACUGUGUAGUAAACUGCCCUGUUUCCUUGUCUAGGUUGUAAACUCCUUGAAGCCGGGAACUUAACUGACUUAGACAGUCUUGAAUCCUCAGCACUAGCAUAGUGCCUGGUACAUGAUAGGUACUUAAUCAUUUGUUGAGUGAAUGAGAGACACAGUGAAGGCAAUGAGUCCUAGUUCCUUUACAGCCUAUCAUGGUGAAAUUUUUGCAAAGGCUGAAGUCAUUUCUCUUCAAACCUUAAGUUCCUUCUGUAUGCUGCUUUCUGCUGAGUGUUCUGAUGCAGACGGGCAAGACAGUUUGGGCAAAUAAAUGUACCUCACAUUUUUGUAUAGUUUACAAAGCCAUCUCACCUUAUAGACCCAGAGGUCAGGUUUCUGCAUGCUGUAUGCUACAGCCACACUGAACUCUUUCCAUCCUUCCCAUGUGUCAAAACCUACCCAUGUUUGCGCACUCUUUCACUUUCUUUGUUUGUUUGGGAGAGGGAGUCUCAUUCUGUCACCCAGGCUGGAGUGCAGUGGCGCAAUCUUUGGCUCACUACAAUGUCCGCCCCCUGGGUUAAAGCGAUUCUCCUGCCUGAGCCUCCCGAGUAGCUGGGAUUACAGGCGCCUGCCAUCACGCCCGCCUAAUUUUUGUAUUUUUAGUAGAGACGGGGUUUCAUCAUCUUGGCCAGGCUGGUCUUGAACUUCUGACCUUAUGAUCCAUCCGCCUCGGGCUCCCAAAGUGCUGGGAUUACACGUGUGAGCCACCGCACCCAGCCUCUUUCACUUUUUAAACUUUGUUCUUCAGCAUAGAAUAAGGCUAGUAGGAUAAAAGAAGAAAGAUUAUUUAUUUAUUUGAAACAGGGUCUCACUAUGUCACCUAAGCUGGAGUACAGUGGCACCAUCAUAGCUCACUGCAGCCUUUGAACUCCUGGGCUCAAAAGAUUCUCCCUCUUCAGCCUCUUGAGUACCUGGGACUACAAGUGUGUGCCACCAUACCCAGCUAAUUUUUACAUUUUUUUUUCUUUUUUCUUUUUUCUUUUUUUUCGAGACGGAGUUUCGCUCUUAUUGCUCAGGCUGGAGUGCAAUGGUGUGAUCUCGGCUCACCGCAACCUCCGCCUCCCGAGUUCAAGCAAUUCUCCUGCCUCAGCCUCCUGAGUAGCUGGCAUUACAGGCAUACGCCACCACACCUGGCUAAUUUUGUAUUUUUAGUAGAGACAGGGUUUCUCCAUGUUGGUCAGGCUGGUCUGGAUCUCCUGACCUCAGGUGAUCCGACUGCCUCAGUCUCCCAAAGUGCUGGGAUUACAGGCGUGAGCCACCGUACCCAGCCAUUUUUAAAUUUUUUUGUAGAGAUGAGGUCUUGCUAUCACCCCUGCUGGUCUCAAAUUCCUGGGCUCAAGGGAUCUUCCUGCCUCAACCUCCCAAAAUGCUAGGAUUACAGGUGUGAGCCAUCAUACCUAGCUGAAAGUUUAGUUCUUUUUAGGUAGAUCAGAGAUAGCUUAUCUAAAAAGAUGAUAUUUCACCUAAUUCAUAUUCCAAUAGCAAAAUCCAUUGAGCUUAUUGAAUGUUAUGUCAAGCAUUCUCACAUAGUUUAUCUCAUUCAGUUCAAACCACUUUGCAGGCCUGCUCUCAGCCAGGCCUACUGCUGGGGUCACAAAGGUAAAUCAAGACAAACAUCAGCCGGGCACAGUUGGCUCACACCUGUAAUCCCAGCACUUUUGGUGGCUGAGGCAGGAGGAUCACUUGAGCCCAGGAGUUUGAAACCAUGCUAAGCAACAUGGAAAAACCUUGUCCCUACUAAAAAAAUCAAAAAAAUUAGCUGAGUGUGGUGGUGCACACCUGUAGUCCCAGCUACUCUGGCUGGGGAGGGACUGAGGAGGAAGGAUUGCUUGAUCCCUAAAGAUGGAGGCUACAGUGAGCCUGGGCAACAAAGCAAGACACCCUCAAAAAAAACAAAAACAAAAACAAAAAAAAACAAGCAUCUAUCUUCAAGCUUAGAGUCUCCCACGGGAGACAGACACAUAAACAGGCUAAAUGGUGCAGUCUGGUCAGUGCUAUUUAUAAUCUAGGAACCUUACAUAUUAUAUCCCUACUCUAACUUGUUAAUGUUCUAUAGACUCCCCGUCCCCAGGAUGUCAACCUCAGUCCCUCAAGGCCAUACCUGGACCCAACGGGUGAAGAAGGACGAUGAGGAGGAGGACCCACUGGACCAGCUUAUCUCCCGCUCUGGCUGUGCUGCCUCCCACUUUGCAGUGCAGGAGUGCAUGGCCCAGCACCAGGACUGGCGGCAAUGCCAGCCACAGGUGCAGGCGUUCAAGGAUUGCAUGAGUGAACAGCAGGCAAGGCGGCAAGAGGAGCUGCAGAGGAGGCAAGAACAAGCCAGUGCCCACCACUGAGACCCCAAACCACCUAUCCCCAGUAGGUGGCCCUGCCAAGACCAGCACCCAGCAAGAUUAUAGAGGAAGAAAUCCUAAAUGCUGGCUGUGGGAGGUCUAAAACAUGGGGAUAGUUUUUGGAUCUGGAGUUGAGAGCCAUGGGUUUGGACAUGACUGGCACAAACAGCUGUCAUAUGUUCAUGGUCAGAUCUCAUACAUCCUCAGCUGUCUUGUUCCACCAGUAUUUGCCAGGAAAACAAAGAAUGUGUUAAGGGAUGCUCCCCCACCCCACAUCUUGGGUCAGUGUGCCAAGUAGUGAGAUGAUUUUAGGGACAUUUUAUUUUAAAUUAAAUUCAUAAUCUAAUGGUAAAUUGA